UGCCAUUCAAUGUUUCAACGGCAACCGUAAGUCGAGUGGCAAGCGCGGACAGGCGGCAUGACGAAGCGUAAGAAAAGGCACUCAUAAUUCUAGCGACGAGCAACGAUCGUCCAUCCCCCUUGCGCUUCGCCUGUGACGUGCGUAAUCGAGCUCGAUCGAGGGGACGCUUUGCGCAAAGGAGGCGCAGAACAGGGAAGCUCAAUUGUGCAAAAGACUCGCGGCCGCACUCAGUACGCGUUCGAUUAUCGCACCGAGUGAAGCGUCGCACAACGUUCACAACUUGCGCGUCGUGUGGUUUUGGGCGAUUCCAUUCGUCGGUGACACGAAACGUGCUCUGUUUGUAACUGUCUGUUGAUAUUAGAGUAUCCUGAACACAGUAGAACAAUGGCCACGAUUGGAAGCCAAAUCGUGCUAGUGCUGUUUUGUUUCGUGCUGGGGAAUUUCGUACUGUUUCACGAUCGUGAGCGGAUCGUUCUCGCGCAGUACAUCGAAGAUGAAACGUCAUUACGCGGGCUCGACUUUCUUGGUGAUUCGCCCAAAGGACUUUUUGGACGAUGGCACUCCGAGAAGCAAUAUUUGAGACGCUUGCAUCUCGAUCGUACGGGCGAAUGAUCGAUGACCUUGAAAUGCAACCGUCUCUCUAGUGCUUCUAUCAAUCGAAAGCAGGUUUAUCGAAUACUCAGGACAAUUGAAAUUCGAUCCCAAUGGAUGCCACAACACAUGUAUGAGACUGAGCUGAUGAUUUCAGAACCAAGGCGGGAUGAAUUAUCUUAGGACAAAGCCAUCCAGGAGUGUUGCAAGUUAUCAACGAAAGAAAUUAAAUAUAAUUAGUUUUAGGUUGUACUGUCGAAGUUUGUGUGCUAUAUGAUGAAGAUAUGAAUAUUGUUUAAAACUCAUUAUUAA